rnacentral:piRNA from 1 species
UAUAUGCGCUCUGCAGAGGACUGUGUACC